CUCCGUGCCGCUCCUCCACCCACGGCGUGACGCGCUCGAGCAUGGUGUGCUGCCCAUUCCGAAGCUCGAGGAGGUACUGGAUAUAUAGCCGUCGGAUACCAGGCGUUCCUGGCGCUUGGCAUGCUCACGACCCUGAGCUAGUCUGACGGUGGCGCAUGCCCGGACCUUGUCUCCACCGGAUCCACGGCGGCGUCCACCGCGUGCGUUGGAGGGCCCAACAGUGCCCUAGCGCCGACCUCCUCCUCCUUCCCGACAUACUAUUCUGAAGUUGCCAACACAUGGCAUCUCGUCAACAAUUUGCAGAAAGGCCGCCAUUACUUGGCGCACGAUUAAGGGCAUUGGCAUACUCCUAGACUGUGCUCGAUGGUACCAACCCGGAUUCAGGAAUAUUCAGCUCGUUGAUCAGUUGAUCUGCAGUCCGCCAAAGUAUGCGAAGUAUUUUGAGAAAUUUUCUGAGAUGGGCAUGGAUCUGUCAGAGAGGAGUGCUAUGUAAUCUCUCACAUCAGAGAGGAGAUUUCUGAGGCACCUUGUUGACUGCUUCUUGAGCUCUCGGGAUUGGCGGCGGCGCUUUAAAAUGUCA